rnacentral:snoRNA from 1 species
GAGACUGUACUUUCAGGGGUCAUUUCUGUACUUUGUUACUAGGGAAGGUCUGAACGCAUUAGCACAGGAAAGCAUCAGGAGGAGGGAGGCGCAGUGUCAUCCCCUAACCUGAAACUAACACUUGGCAUUGUUUUGUUGCAAUCGCUCUUGGCCAUUGGUGAUCACCUGACUGG